AUACCAGUGUAAUCUUGUAAUAUGAUUUUCAUAUUACAUUUUCAUAUUAUGAAAAUCAUAUUACAAGAUUACACUGGUAU